GUGCUCGCUUUGGCAGCACAUAUACUCAAAUUGGGAGGACACAGAGAAGAUUAGCAUGGCUCCCGCACAAGGAUGACACACAAAUCUGUAAAGCAUUCUGUAUUUUA